AUUUGCAGGGAGGACCAUGCCCAAUAAAACUGAUUUAUCCUUGGGAAGGGUCAGUUUCUUCAUUAGGACAAUGAAGAAAAAUCCAGCUGUCCCUUCCAAGGGGAGGUAUCAUGAGCAGUAUCAAGCCUCCUUGCCUGUCUGCAUCUAAAGCCCCUGCCCAGAGUCCGCCUUCUCAGGUCCAGUACUCCCAGUUCACCUGCCCUCGGGAGCCCUCCUUCCUUCGGAAAACUCCCAGCUCAGACUCCUCCUCAGCCCCUCCCCCCGCCCUGCUCACCUUUAAUUGAGAUGCUAAUGAGACUCCUGUCGCUUCCAUCCCUGGCCGGCCGGCGGGCGGGCGGGCUCCCCAGCCAGGCCGCUGCACCUGUCAGGGGAACAAGCUGGAGGAGCAGGGCCCUAGACCUCUGCAGCCCACACCAGGGCUCAUGGAGGGGAACAAGCUGGAGGAGCAGGACUCUAGCCCUCCACAGUCCACUCCAGGGCUCAUGAAGGGGGACAAGCGUGAGGAGCAGGGGCUGGGCCCCGAACCUGCGGCGCCCCAGCAGCCCACGGCGGAGGAGGAGGCCCUGAUCGAGUUCCACCG
rnacentral:sRNA from 1 species